rnacentral:rRNA from 1 species
AAUGAACGUUGGCGGCGUGGAUUAGGCAUGCAAGUCGAGCGAGAACCCCGCAAGGGGGGACAGCGGCGCAAGGGACAGUAAUGUGUAGAUCAUCUGCCCUCAGGUCCGGGAUAGCUGCGGGAAACUGCAGGUAAUACCGGAUAACAUCUCCGGAUCAAAGGUGUGAUUCCGCCUGAGGAUGAGUCUGCAUCCUAUUAGCUAGUUGGCAGGGUAACGGCCUACCAAGGCAUUGAUGGGUAGCGGGUGUGAGAGCACGACCCGCGUCAUUGGGACUGAGACACUGCCCAGACACCUACGGGUGGCUGCAGUCGAGAAUCUUCGGCAAUGGGCGCAAGCCUGACCGAGCGACGCCGCGUGUGGGAUGAAGGCCUUCGGGUUGUAAACCACCGUCAGAGGGGAUGAAAUGCAGGUGGGUUCUCCCAUCUGUUUGACAUAGCCUCAGAGGAAGGACGGGCUAAGUUCGUGCCAGCAGCCGCGGUAACAC